AUGCUCCGGCUGCGAAGCUCCAUCCUCGCCCGUCUCCUCUCCUCUUCUCCAGCCACCUCUCCCAAAUCCCCCUUCCGCCGCCUCCUCUCCGCCAUCGUCCCAGCCCCAAUCACCGGAUUUGCCGCGGAGGAGUACCUCGUCUCCACCUGCGGCCUCGCCCGACCCCAGGCCGUCAAGGCCUCCACCAAGCUCUCCCACCUCAAGUCCCCCGCCAACCCCGACGCCGUCCUCGCCUUCCUCGCCGGCCUCGGUCUCUCCGGCGCCGAUGUCGCCGCCCUCGUCGCCAAGGACCCGCUGUUCCUCUGCGCCAGCGUGGAGAGAACCCUGGCGCCCGUCGUCGCCGGGCUUUCCGGCCUCGGCCUAUCGCGUGCCGACAUCGCGCGCCUCGCCAAACUCACCGACCACAAAUUCCGCCAAAAAGGAAUUGUCUCCAAGCUGCACUACUACCUGCGCGUCUUCGGCUCCUCCGAGAACCUCCUCCGGGCCAUGAAGUUCUGCACUCUCCUCUCACACAGCCUCGAGAGGGUGGUCAAGCCCAAUGUCGCGUACCUGCGAGAGUGCGGGUUAGGUGACUGCGAUAUUGCCAAGCUGUGCGUCUCAAGACCGAGGAUGUUCGCCACCAACCCGGAGCUUGUUCAGGCGAUGGUGACAUGCGCCGAAAACAUAGGUGUGCCCCGUGGCGCUGUCAUGUUCAGGCACGCGCUGCUUGCUGUUUCAUCUCUUGGGAAAGAGGAGAUCUUGCUGGGAUGUUCAGCCAGAGUGGAGUACUUGAGGAAUACGUUCAGGUGGACGGAUGCUGAGGUGGGCAUUGCUUUUUCUAAGUAUCCAUUGGUGCUGAAUAAGUCCAAGGAAUCACUGCAGCGCAGGUCUGAGUUCCUCAUCUCGGAGGUGGGCUUGGAACCGCCCUACAUUGCUCAACGGUCGGUAAUACUAGGUCUCAGCCUAGAGGGCCGGCUCAGACCCCGGUACUACGCUGUAAAGUUCCUCAAGGAAAAUGGAUUGCUCAAGUGUGACCCAAGCUACUAUACUGUUUUCAAGGAGUCCGACAUGGUAUUCAAGAAGAAGUUCAUACACCCUCAUAAGGAAGCUGCACCGCACCUUGAAAAAGACUACGAUGCUGCUUGCAAAGGGGAAGUGCCCACUAAUUUCAGAUUCACAUAA
rnacentral:rRNA from 1 species